rnacentral:rRNA from 1 species
AUUGAACGCUGGCGGCAGGCCUAACACAUGCAAGUCGAACGAGUGGCGGACGGGUGAGUAAUGGCUGGGAAACUGCCUGCUGGAGGGGGAUAACUACUGGAAACGGUAGCUAAUACCGCAUACCAUCAGCUGUGCCCAGAUGGGAUUGGCUGGUGGGUGGGGUAACGGCCCACCAAGGCGACGAUGCCUAGCUGGUCUGAGAGGAGGACAAGCGACACGGGAACGGAGACGCGGUCCAGACUCCUACGGGAGGCAGCAGGGGGGAAUAGUGCACAGUGGGCGGGAGCCUGAUGCAGCCAUGACGCGUGUAUUGAGAAGGCCUUCGGGUUGUAAAGUACUUUCAGCGGGGAUGCGUUACCCGCAGAAGAAGCACCGGCUAACUACGUGCCAGCCGCCGCGGUAAUUC